GAUGAACGCUGGCGGCGUGCCUAAUACAUGCAAGUCGAGCGAACAGACGAGGAGCUUGCUCCUCUGACGUUAGCGGCGGACGGGUGAGUAACACGUGGAUAACCUACCUAUAAGACUGGGAUAACUUCGGGAAACCGGAGCUAAUACCGGAUAAUAUAUUGAACCGCAUGGUUCAAUAGUGAAAGACGGUUUUGCUGUCACUUCUAGAUGGAUCCGCGCCGCAUUAGCUAGUUGGUAAGGUAACGGCUUACCAAGGCAACGAUGCGUAGCCGACCUGAGAGGGUGAUCGGCCACACUGGAACUGAGACACGGUCAAGACUCCUAAGGGAGGCAGCAGUAGGGAAUCUUCCGCAAUGGGCGAAAGCCUGACGGAGCAACGCCGCGUGAGUGAUGAAGGUCUUGGGAUCGUAAAACUCUGUUAUUAGGGAAGAACAAAUGUGUAAGUAACUAUGCACGUCUUGACGGUACCUAAUCAGAAAGCCACGGCUAACUACGUG
rnacentral:rRNA from 1 species